rnacentral:rRNA from 1 species
CAGUGGGGAAUAUUGCGCAAUGGGCGAAAGCCUGACGCAGCAACGCCGCGUGAGGGAUGAAGGCCUUCGGGUUGUAAACCUCUUUUAUCAGGGAAGAAGCGAAAGUGACGGUACCUGAAGAAAAAGCACCGGCUAACUACGUGCCAGCAGCCGCGGUAAUACGUAGGGUGCAAGCGUUAUCCGGAAUUAUUGGGCGUAAAGAGCUCGUAGGCGGUUUGUCGCGUCUGCUGUGAAAAUCUGAGGCUCAACCUCGGACUUGCAGUGGGUACGGGCAGACUAGAGUGCGGUAGGGGAGAAGGGAAUUCCUGGUGUAGCGGUGGAAUGCGCAGAUAUCAGGAGGAACACCAAUGGCGAAGGCACUUCUCUGGGCCGCUACUGACGCUGAGGAGCGAAAGCGUGGGGAGCGAACAGGAUUAGAUACCC